CCUACGGGAGGCAGCAGUGGGGAAUUUUGGACAAUGGGCGCAAGCCUGAUCCAGCCAUGCCGCGUGCAGGAUGAAGGCCUUCGGGUUGUAAACUGCUUUUGUACGGAACGAAAAGACUCUGGUUAAUACCUGGGGUUCAUGACGGUACCGUAAGAAUAAGCACCGGCUAACUACGUGCCAGCAGCCGCGGUAAUACGUAGGGUGCGAGCGUUAAUCGGAAUUACUGGGCGUAAAGCGUGCGCAGGCGGUUAUAUAAGACAGAUGUGAAAUCCCCGGGCUCAACCUGGGAACUGCAUUUGUGACUGUAUAGCUAGAGUACGGUAGAGGGGGAUGGAAUUCCGCGUGUAGCAGUGAAAUGCGUAGAUAUGCGGAGGAACACCGAUGGCGAAGGCAAUCCCCUGGACCUGUACUGACGCUCAUGCACGAAAGCGUGGGGAGCAAACAGGAUUGGAUACCCUGGUAGUCCACGCCCUAAACGAUGUCAACUGGUUGUUGGGUCUUCACUGACUCAGUAACGAAGCUAACGCGUGAAGUUGACCGCCUGGGGAGUACGGCCGCAAGGUUGAAACUCAAAUGAAUUGACGGCUGAGAGNGCGACGACGACGACGAGGGAGGAGG
rnacentral:rRNA from 1 species